UCCGAAGGGGGCUAGCGUUGCUCGGAAUCACUGGGCGUAAAGCGCACGUAGGCGGAUCUUUAAGUCAGGGGUGAAAUCCUGGAGCUCAACUCCAGAACUGCCUUUGAUACUGGGGAUCUCGAGUCCGGAAGAGGUGAGUGGAACUCCGAGUGUAGAGGUGAAAUUCGUAGAUAUUCGGAAGAACACCAGUGGUGAAGGCGGCUCACUGGUCCGGUACUGACGCUGAGGUGCGAAAGCGUGGGGAGCAAACAGG
rnacentral:rRNA from 1 species